UACAGAGGGUGCGAGCGUUAAUCGGAAUUACUGGGCGUAAAGCGCACGUAGUCGGCUUUGCAAGUCGGGUGUGAAAUCCCCCGGGCUCAACCUGGGAACUGCAUCCGAGACUGCAUUGCUAGAGUAUGGGAGAGGGAAGCGGAAUUUCUGGUGUAGCAGUGAAAUGCGUAGAUAUCAGAAGGAACAUCAGUGGCGAAGGCGGCU
rnacentral:rRNA from 1 species